rnacentral:rRNA from 1 species
GAUGAACGCUGGCGGCGUGCUUAACACAUGCAAGUCGAACGAAGCACUUUAUUUGAUUUCCUUCGGGACUGAUUAUUUUGUGACUGAGUGGCGGACGGGUGAGUAACGCGUGGGUAACCUGCCUUGUACAGGGGGAUAACAGUUGGAAACGGCUGCUAAUACCGCAUAAGCGCACAGCAUCGCAUGAUGCAGUGUGAAAAACUCCGGUGGUAUAAGAUGGACCCGCGUUGGAUUAGCUAGUUGGUGAGGUAACGGCCCACCAAGGCGACGAUCCAUAGCCGACCUGAGAGGGUGACCGGCCACAUUGAGACUGAGACACGGCCCAAACUCCUACGGGAGGCAGCAGUGGGGAAUAUUGCACAAUGGGCGAAGGCCUGAUGCAGCGACGCCGCGUAAGCGAAGAAGUAUUUCGGUAUGUAAAGCGCUAUCAGCAGGGAAGAUAAUGACGGUACCUGACUAAGAAGCACCGGCUAAAUACGUG